rnacentral:lncRNA from 1 species
UGAUUUAAGGUUUGGUUAGGAUCAGGGUUAUAUUUGGAUUAGGAUUAGGAUUUUGGUUUUGAUUUAAAAUUUGAUUAUGUUUAGAGUUUGAUUAGGAUUUAUGUAGGAUUUAACUAGGAUUUGUUUAUGGUUUGAUUAGGGCUUAUUUAUGAUUUUUCUUAGAUUUGAUUAGGAUUUAUUUAUGAUUUGGUUAGGAUUUGUUUAUAAUUUGAUUAAUAUUUGAUAAGAAUUUGAUUAGAAUUUGAUUAAGAUUUUACUAAAAUUAGAUUAGAGCUUAUUUAGGAUUUGUCAAGGAUUUGACUAGGAUUUGACUAGGAUUUGAUUAGGAAUUGAUUAGGAUUUGAAUAGGAUUUGAUUAGAAAUUAUAUAGGAUUUAUUUAGGAUUUUGCUUGAAUUUAUUUAAGAUUUGAUUAGAAUUUGUUUAGGAUUUAAUUAAGAUUUGAUUAGAAUUUGACUAAGAUUUGUAUAGGAUUUGGUUAGGGCUUAUUUAGGAUUUGUCUAAGAUUUGAGUAGGAUUUUAUUAGAAUUUAUUUAAGAUUUUAUUAAGAUUUGAUUGGAAUUUUAUUGGAAUUUU